CGUGAGGGAAAGGUGAAAAGAACCCCGGGAGGGGAGUGAAAGAGAACCUGAAACCCUGCACUUACAAGCUGUAGGAGCACAUUUCUUGUGUGACUGCGUACUUUUUGUAGAACGGGCCAACGAGUUACGUUGUGUAGCAAGGUUAAGCACUUAAGGUGUGGAGCCGUAGCGAAAGCGAGUCUUAAAUGGGCGUCUAGUUACCCGACGUAGACCCGAAACCAGGCGACCUAUCCAUGAGCAGGUUGAAGCGAAAGUAAAAUUUCGUGGAGGACCGAACCCACGUACGUUGAAAAGUGCGGGGAUGACUUGUGGAUAGCGGUGAAAUUCCAAUCGAGCCUGGAGAUAGCUGGUUCUCCCCGAAAUAGCUUUAGGGCUAGCCUCAAGAUUAGAGAAGCGGAGGUAGAGCACUGAAUGUCCUAGGGGGUAUUGCACUUACCGAAGACUAUCAAACUCCGAAUGCCGUAUUCUUUUGCUUGGGAGUCAGACUAUGGGUGAUAAGAUUCAUAGUCAAGAGGGCAACAGCCCAGAUCGUCAGCUAAGGUCCCUAAAUGUAAGUUAAGUGGUAAAGGAUGUGGAAUUGCACAGACAACCAGGAUGUUGGCUUAGAAGCAGCCACUCAUUUAAAGAGUGCGUAAUAGCUCACUGGUCGAGUGAUUCUGCGCCGAAAAUUUCCGGGGCUAAAACUUACUACCGAAGCUACGGCAUCAUUAUGAUGGGUAGGGGAGCUUUCUAUACGGGUUGAAGCAUGACCGUAAGGACAUGUGGACUGUAUAGAAGUGAGAAUGUUGGCAUGAGUAGCGAGAUGUGGGUGAGAAUCCCACAGGCCGUAAACCCAAGGUUUCCAGGGGAAGGUUCGUCCGCCCUGGGUUAGUCAGGACCUAAGCCGAGGCCGAAAGGCGUAGGUGAUGGACAACAGGUUGAUAUUCCUGUACCACCAAUAACCGUUUGAGAAAUGGGAUGACACAGUAGGAUAAGCUAACCGCACUGUUGGUUAUGUGCGGGCAAGUAUUGAGGCAGUUCCGAUAGGCAAAUCCGUCGGAAUAAUGCUGGGGUACGAUGCGGAGCGAAAUUAAGUAGCGAAGUAGCUGAUUUCACACUGUCGAGAAAAGUCUCUAUCGAGGUUAAAGGUGCCUGUACCGCAAACCGACACAGGUGGGUGAGGAGAGUAUCCUAAGGCCAGCGAGAGAACUGUUGUUAAGGAACUCGGCAAAAUGACCCCGUAACUUAGGGAGAAGGGGUGCCUUCGAAAGAAGGCCGCAGAGAAUAGGCCCAAGCGACUGUUUACCAAAAACAUAGGUUUCUGCUAAGUCGCAAGACGAUGUAUAGGAGCUGACGCCUGCCCGGUGCUGGAAGGUUAAGGGGAUCUGUUAGAGCAAUCGAAGCAGUGAACUUAAGCCCCAGUAAACGGCGGCCGUAACUAUAACGGUCCUAAGGUAGCGAAAUUCCUUGUCGGGUAAGUUCCGACCCGCACGAAAGGCGUAACGAUUUGGGCACUGUCUCAACAACAGACUCGGUGAAAUUGUAAUACCGGUGAAGAUGCCGGUUACCUGCGACAGGACGGAAAGACCCCAUGGAGCUUUACUGUAGCUUGACAUUGAGUCUCGGUGCUACAUGUACAGGAUAGGUGGGAGACUAUGAAGCAUGGACGUCAGUCUGUGUGGAGUCAUCCUUGGGAUACCACCCUUGUAGUACUGGGAUUCUAACCAGAGGCCAUGAAUCUGGUCUUGGGACACUGUCAGGUGGACAGUUUGACUGGGGCGGUCAGGUAGUCUUCCUGGGAUCUUAACCUUGCGGGGGGAAA
rnacentral:rRNA from 1 species